GUUUACCAAAAACAUGGCUUCUUGAAACAAAUAAAAUAGGGAGUCGGACCUGCCCAGUGAAAAUUUUAAACGGCCGCGGUACCCUGACCGUGCAAAGGUAGCAUAAUCAUUUGCCUUAUAAUUGAAGGCUAGUAUGAAUGGUUUGACAAGAAUAAAGCUGUCUCUUUAUAAUUAGCUAGAAUUUUAUCUUAAGGUGAAGAAGCCUUAAUAGAAUUAAAAGACAAGAAGACCCUAUCGAGCUUUAAAAAAAUCUAUAGGAAUUAAUUAGUAAUUAAUUUAAAUAAAAAUUGGCUAUUUGAAUAUUUUAGUUGGGGCGACUGAGGAACAGACAAAGCUUCCUCAUAAUGAUAUGACAUAUAGGUGUUGACCCAAAAUUUUUGGUCAGAAAAAUUAGUUACCGUAGGGAUAACAGCAUUAUCUUCUUUGAGAGUUCUUAUCGAAAAGAAGGUUUGUGACCUCGAUGUUGGACCAGAAUAUCCCAAAGAUGCAGAAGUCUUUAAAGGUUGGUCUGUUCGACCAUUAAAAUUCUACGUGAUCUGAGUUCAGACCGG
rnacentral:rRNA from 2 species